CCGCCCACAGGCAGGAGGAGCCCAUGGAGAUUGACCCACCCCGGGAAGAGGCGGAGCCCAUGGAGGUGGAUCCGCCUCGGCAGGAGGAGGAGGCGAUGGAGGUGGAUCCGCCUCAGGCAGGGCUGCUGGGGCCCAGCACCAGCAUGGCCGGACCGCCUCCGGCGCCGCAGUGCCCUAAGCGCCGCAGGACGGCCGGGGGCUCUCCCAGAGCCCCCAAACAGGCGCCUGGCCGCAAGCGGCGCCGCCCCCGCAGCCGCCACUAGCCACCUCCGGGGGAUGGGCCGGACCAGCAGCCGCUCUGGAGCCACAGGUGAGCCCGGCUUCCCAGCCCGCACCCCCGGCCCUCAUGCCGGGGCAUCUCCUCUGCCCUGGGGCCUGGGGAAGAGGCGAGGAGGGUCGCUGCCAUCUUCUGCUCGGCAGCCCCAGAGCACCGGGAGGAGUCCUCAGGAGCCACCACACAGCGGGGGACAGCGCCACAGACGCCAGGACACCCGAGGACAGCGCUGGAGCUUGCCUUCAAGGCAAAAGAAGCCCGCUGGAGACCGCCAGAGACCGUCGGGGACAGAAGGACACCGUGGGAUCUGCACCUUGCCUUAUAAAAGGAGAAGUGUGGAGACUUGGAGACAAAACCUGACGAGGUUUGGUCAGGAAUUCUUGACAGGACUACCGGAAGGAGAUUUUGAAGGUCAGAGGCAUUUGGGCACUCUCGGCAGUCCGGGAGAUGGCUCCGGCUCAAGGUAGGACAGGGUAGGAUAGGCUAGGGCUUGGGCAGGUCCUGGGGGGCGUGAGCAGCCUGUGCAUGGGACGAGGAGCCAGGUCUGGCUCACAUGCUCAGGGAACAGCCGAUCGCCAGCACUGGGGUCAGGAAGGAAUUUUUUCCCCCGGGGCAGAUUGGCACUGGUCCCCGGGGGUUUUUUGCCUUCCUCUGCAGCACUGAGCAUGACCACUUUGCAGAGCUCCUCUGGGCCCUUUUGGCUCGGUUCCUGCCUGCUGCUCAAGCACCAGGAAGAUGGCCUCUCGUGCCCCGCAGCUGGGGGGAGGAAGGCUUUUUUUCCCCCCGAGGUGGGACAGCAAGCGUCUCCGGGGGUUUUUUGCUUUCCUCUGCAGCGCUGAGCACGGCCCCUUGCCACGGCUUCUUUGGGCCAUUUGGGCUGGGCGCCUGCUGCUCCACGAGGUGGCCCUAAACUUAGCUAGAAUAGCCUAUCCAAAGCAGCAUAGAACUAAUCGCCUAAACCAACCUUAAAGAAGUGCAAGGAACUAACCCGCCUUCAAGAAGCUAAAAUAAACUGAAACUAAACACUUGUA